rnacentral:piRNA from 1 species
UCCUUACCACGUUGAGGCGCCAGUUUU